rnacentral:rRNA from 1 species
CCUACGGGUGGCAGCAGUGAGGAAUAUUGGUCAAUGGACGAGAGUCUGAACCAGCCAAGGAGCGUGAAGGAGGACUGCCCUAUGGGUUGUAAACUUCUUUUAUAAAGGAAUAAAACGAGGCACGUGUGCCGUUUUGCAUGUACUGUAUGAAUAAGGAUCGGCUAACUCCGUGCCAGCAGCCGCGGUAAUACGGAGGAUCCGAGCGUUAUCCGGAUUUAUUGGGUUUAAAGGGAGCGUAGAUGGGUUGUUAAGUCAGUUGUGAAAGUUUGCGGCUCAACCGUAAAAUUGCAAUUGAUACUGGCAGUCUUGAGUACAGUUGAGGUAGGCGGAAUUCGUGGUGUAGCGGUGAAAUGCUUAGAUAUCACGAAGAACCCCGAUUGCGAAGGCAGCUUACUAAACUGUGACUGACAUUGAUGCUCGAAAGUGUGGGUAUCAAACAGGAUUAGAUACCCUUGUAGUC